GGAGAGGUGCCGGAGUCUGGUUGAUCGGGCCUGUCUUGAAAACAGGUGUCCCGCUUAGUCGGGACCGGGGGUUCAAAUCCCUCCCUCUCCG
rnacentral:tRNA from 1 species